AAGCCCAUGGCCCCGUGUGGGGUGCGUGUUGGGCCUCGCCCGUGGGCGUCGCCCGGAACGAAUAGGUCGAAGGAGCGGACGUGAUCCAUUAGGACUGACCGCCCCGAGACCCUAAAUCUCAG
rnacentral:misc_RNA from 1 species